UACGUAGGGGGCAAGCGUUAUCCGGAAUCAUUGGGCGUAAAAGCGCGUGUAGGGCGGUUUCCGUAAAGUCCGCUCUGAAAGCCCCAGGGCUCAACCCUGGGGAGGCGGGUGGAUACUACGGAACUGGAGUACGGAAGAGGAGAUUGGAAUUCCUGGUGUAGCGGUGAAAAUGCGCAGAUAUCAGGAGGAACACCGAUGGCGAAGGCAGCU
rnacentral:rRNA from 1 species